GAACGCACAUUGCGCCCUUUGGUAUUCCGAAGGGCACACCUGUUCGAGCGUCAUUACACCAAUCAAGUUUUACUUGGUAUUGGGCUCUUUGUCCCUAUUUUUUAGGGACAGGCCUUAAAGACAUUGGCGGCAUAGUCCGGCUUCGAGCGUAGCAAAAAACAUCGCUUUUGGAGUUAACUGGAUUAUUGUUCCUUGUCCAUAAAAAUAGAGUAGAAAUACUCGACUUUUUUCUUAAGGUUGACCUCGGAUCAGGUGGGGAUACCCGCUGAACUUAAG
rnacentral:misc_RNA from 1 species